rnacentral:rRNA from 1 species
GUGCCAGCAGCCGCGGUAAUACGAAAGGGGCAAGCGUUGUUCGGAUUUACUGGGCGUAAAGGGCACGCAAGCGGUCUUGCCAGUCAGGGGUGAAAGCCCGGGGCUCAACCCCGGAACUGCCUCUGAUACUGCAAGACUAGAGACUAGGAGAGGGUGGUGGAAUUCCCAGUGUAGAGGUGAAAUUCGUAGAUAUUGGGAGGAACACCAGAGGCGAAGGCGGCCACCUGGACUAGAUCUGACGCUCAGGUGCGAAAGCGUGGGGAGCAAACAGGAUUAGAUACCCUGGUAGUCC